GAUGAACGCUGGCGGCGUGCCUAAUACAUGCAAGUCGAGCGAACAGACGAGGAGCUUGCUCCUCUGACGUUAGCGGCGGACGGGUGAGUAACACGUGGAUAACCUACCUAUAAGACUGGGAUAACUUCGGGAAACCGGAGCUAAUACCGGAUAAUAUAUUUAACCGCAUGGUUCAAUAGUGAAAGACGGUUUUGCUGUCACUUAUAGAUGGAUCCGCGCCGCAUUAGCUAGUUGGUAAGGUAACGGCUUACCAAGGCGACGAUGCGUAGCCGACCUGAGAGGGUGAUCGGCCACACUGGAACUGAGACACGGUCCAGACUCCUACGGGAGGCAGCAGUAGGGAAUCUUCCGCAAUGGGCGAAAGCCUGACGGAGCAAAGCCGCGUGAGUGAUGAAGGUCUUCGGAUCGUAAAACUCUGUUAUUAGGGAAGAACAAAUGUGUAAGUAACUAUGCACGUCUUGACGGUACCUAAUCAGAAAGCCACGGCUAACUACGUG
rnacentral:rRNA from 1 species